GCUGACGAUUCCCUUUUUUUGUUUAUUUAUUUUUUCUUUCCACUGACAAGAUCAAGAAUUAAUUGUUAAAAAUAAAAUAUAAGACUGUUGAAUAGUUAAGUAGAAAAUGAAAACAAGAAUAGACCGAACAAUGAAUUAUUAUUAAUUAAAAACAAUUGUUAUACAAACAUGUAGAACGAAGACUGAAAAUAUUUUUAUAAAUUCUGUGACGAGAGAAGGAAUAAAUAAAAGAAUCGAUAAUAAACCAAGAGGAAUAAAUAAAAUAAAAGGAUAGAAAAAAAACUGACUUAUAAAACGAUAAGUGUUGGCUAUAAAUUCUCUUUCUAUCAAAACAGACUAAUUUAUUAAAACGAUAGAAUGAUAAAUAAAGAAGUGAAAUUAUAAUUAACGAGAUAAAUAAUAAUAAUAGAUGUAAAAAAAAAGUGUUAUAAAAAAUUGAUUUUUGAAAAGGCCUUACUUUGUAAAAACGAAACUUGGAUAUCUCUGAGGGAAAAUAUUUUCCACUUUUUUCCAAAUGAAGACAAAAAUUUAUUUUCAAAAAUUCAAGAAAGGCCUGAAUAUUAAAGAAAAUAAAUAGAUCAAUUGCAAAAUAAAGAAUAGAGAAAAAUUAUAAAAGA